CCCUGUGCUUUGAACUCGGGAUAAAUCCCAGGAUGAAUGUGAACAUUUCACUGAUACAGGAAAGCGGUUGGCAGUCUGAACAUUCCUCUCAGCACUGGUCAUCGCCACUUUGGUGUUGAACUAUCAACCUGAGGGGGCGUGUCUUAAAUACUGAAUGUUAUUUGGAGUUUCCCCGUGUGAGCAUCGCUGCCGAUUGAAACAUUCUUCGUGGAGCGGAUCAAACUUUGAAUCGUACAACGGAAUUUUUACUCGGGGCUUUCUCCGCAACUGGUUUUUAAAUAGUUUCCGGGAGAUUAUAAAAGGCCAUUUCUAUUAGCAGCUUGGUUCGGUGAGCGCAGUUUCCAAGUUGGAAGAGCAGCGAUCACGUCGACUCGGCGCCAGAGACAUGGGUUUUACAUUCCCUGCAUGCGGGAAAUUCCUUUUUAUUUUGAUUCUCAGACUAACAAUGUUUUACAGAACUUGGAAGAUUUGAUAUGACUAAUGAGAAAGGAUCAAUGAGAUCUCUUGUGAUUGGAGAUCCAAGUGAUGGGAAUAUGCCAGAAUUCCAGAUGCAUUUUGAGGGUGUUCAUCUCCAGACCAUAGUCACUGAUUUCAAGGCAGCAUCUGUGGAAAAAGAGUACAGUCAACAUUUUGAGUUGAGACCGUUCAGAAGGACUCUAACCCUAAUGCACGCGUGUUGCUUGGAUUUCCAGCAUCUACGAUUGUCUCAUUUGUGAUUGGACUAUCUGUGCCCUUUGUGAUUUUAUGAAUAUCUGCAAGUUUACUUCCCAGCCUCUUACACUCCAGGUAAAACAAGGGACACACGUUAUCCAGCCUCUCCUUAUUAACUCAAACCCUACUAGUCCUGGGAACAUUCUUCUCCCUCCCCACCCUUUAUUUUCUCUCAUUUCCAGUGGGUUUCUCACUCCUUCGCUUCCCUCAUCACCGCCCUCUGGUUCCCCUCUUCCCCACGUCCACUCUCCUUCCCACCAGACUCUCCUCUUCAGUCCUUUAUCUCCUUACCCCCAAAUCUGCUCCCAGCUUCUUAUUUCAACCCCCCCCC